GCGCCACCACGUGCCUGGCCUUCGCGCCCGCCCGGAGCGCCGCCAUCAUCGGGAACACGCAGCAGCAGACGUUCAGCGUCGUCUACGACGUCAAGAACAGCAAGAUCGGGUUCGCCGCCGGCGGCUGCAGCUGAGAAGCGACACCUACAUACACGCGCAUGCACAGACCGACUCGGUAACUAAAACUAAAACGAACAGCGCAUGCAUGCAUCUACCGUCCGGUUUCGUCUGAAACCAUCAUUAAUUUCGAUCGUCCACUCCACGCACAGCAAGUUCUUUACGGAGCUUGCCGCAUAUGAUAUGUACAUGGUGACAAGAUAAGGUACAGGAGAAUUGAUGAAAGAAGCGUUGCCGGCCAGUCGUCGUUGCACGAGAACAAACACAUAAAUUAAAACAUUAUUACAGGAGUAGGGUAUUUAUUGUAUUGUUCAGGCCAGAAAAAUAUGUGGAAAGUGGGUCUUUAACUUAAUUCGGAAGAAGCAUAUAGCACUCCAAAAAAAAAAAAAGAUUCAUAUUCAUCACAUAGCCAACAGAUAGCAUGUAGUAGCUGUUCAUGCAUGUUAUUCUUUUGGCAAGUCCUGGUCAGGAAGUACUAUUUACUGUGUGUAGGACGAAUAAACUGAAGUGAUGUGUAUGUUUCUGAUUUCUUUCGUACUUGCAACCCCGGGCCCACGUGGUUUUUUUACUCCCUUCUAUAUAUACUGUGGAAAAUAUUGUAACCCACGCACAAGACACACACUCCUAUGCUAUAUAUGUUCUAUGCACAAGACACACUUUGUUAACGAACAAAGAGAUCGAUGAUGCAAAUAUUUAUCACUAUAUAUAUAUGGCUAUUGUUAGUUUCGUGCCUUUUGCACGAUGAAUAUAAUGGUUGAACAUGCAUGGGACGAACAGGUGGUUAGCAAAUCUGUACAAGAAUUCAUUCACAUAUCACAGUCUUCAACGGGACAGGCCUUUGGAUUUUGAUGAGGCAAACCAAUAUCUAGGUAUUAUCUGUUUGCUCUUUCAGCAUUUCGGAGUGGAAUUGUGUACAGUUAGUCGUGAACUACAUUUUUCCUUGUAGAGUUGCCCCUGUAAAAAGCGUGUUGCUACCUGAUUGAAUUCGAGUAGAUGUCCUCUGCAUGUCAUCCUAACAAAUUCCAUUUUUCUACCUGCCUGUUGAAGUAAUGGGUUUAUUUGUACCUGUUUUUUGAUUGCUUCUUCCGUUCAACCUGGUUGUUGUCUCUUUUAAGCUGGGAUGGACAUUUGUAUAUGUACUUUUGUGUUCCAGGUUAUUUUUUGUUUGUAUUUUGUACAUAAGCCUUCUUCCCACAUGCUUCUUUCUGAAGUUUCCACGGAUAAAAAUUACUUUCAUGGAAAAGGGAAGGGGCUGUAAUAUACUUCUCAAGUACUGAGCUAUUAUACCUCUUUAUUGUCACUAAUAUGGUAUUGUGAUUUCCUUCUCUGCAAUUUCAGAGAAAUGUGAAAGAGAUAAAUCGCGUGUUCUUGUUCAUUGCAUGACUGGAAAAAACAGGUACUUAAUUGCUUGUGAAGAACUUCUAUUAGCUUUUACGCUGUCUGCUUUGUUGCGAUUGGUUGACGAAUACUUCUUUGGAACACAUUUUGUUAGGUCCGCUGCUAUUGUUGCAGCCUUCUUGAUGAAGUCUAGAGGGUGGAGACUUGCACAGUCUUUUCAAUGGGUGAAAGACCGAAGACCACAGGUUCAACUGACAGAUGGUUAGCUUCACUUCAUACCCUUCGAAGCUUGUUGACUAAUUAAGACACCGUCUCUAUUACAUCAUGAAUCCUUGGUUCCUUGCCUAUCAAAUGUUAAUUUUUUUUCUCACCUGAAUUGACAGCAGUCUACUCUAUAUACAUACUUACAUAGUGAAUAAGCACUGCUAAACUACAUUGUUUAGUUUAUUGUGUAGUUCGUAUCCCAGUUAGCAAUUUUUCAGAGACUAGGUUAAUACAUUAUGAAUGAAUAUAGCGGCUUUCACGUCCCCUUACCCCGCACGCCACACACAAAAAAAAAGGAAAAGGAAAAAGAACACACAUAGUACAUAAACUUUGACUCUCACAUUUAUAUUGUCAUUAGGUAAUUAUAACAUGUUUCUUCUAUGCAGCUUCUCAGAAGGAGCUUUUGGAGUAUGAGCUGAAGCUUUUCGGACCCAGUACUCAAACCUUGGUUCCCACUGAAUCAUUUGCUUCUCUUGGAUUUGGUUAUACAAAACCAGCAGGUGACAUGCAAACGCCUGUGUUCAACCAAACGACCAUGCCAUCCAUAUUCGAGCGAUUCAACCCAAAUGAUCGCCCCGCCAAUUUCACUUUUGGAGUUGAGAGGAAAGCAGAAGCUAACCCUCAAGAUAACAAUAGUGAUGGCAGGGUAAACCCAACUUCAACGGAGAACCUGAUGGACAGCUCUUAAGAUGAUUUCACGAUGUCGCUGUUCAAUCUCCUUGUUCCAGAAGUAAACCCGCUGUAAUCUGCAUGUCGCGGAAGUAAACCUACUGCUCGGUGCCUCGGCGCACCGAAUACUUAUCCGGUGUCUAGGUUUCAGGGAGGUUUUGCCCUUGUCGGAUGAGAAAUGGUUCUCUGGAAACCGAUCUUUGCUUUAGAAUGACUGUAUGAAAUAGAUGUUUGUGGCUCAUCUAUCUGUUCCUUUCUCGUAUAGUUUCUGAUUGCUAUUAUAUGGAUAAGGCAUAGUGCUUACUGCUUACCAGUCGGGUCGUUUAUUUGGUCAUGUAUAUAUGUAGUCGUCCGUAAAAGGAGAGGAGAGAUUUUUCAGGUCGGCAGCUGGUGGUGACGUGAUGAGUUUUAGAUCUUUAGUCCAAUGCAACAGGAGAUUAAGAAUCUAGAUUAUCGCCUUUUUAGUUCGAAGGUUUGAGAAUUAAUGACAGAUUGAUAAGGUAAACAGUUAUUUAUUUAUUUAUUUUAGUUUGUGAACCCAACUGAGUCAAUUUUAGAGACCUUUAGUCAGGUGCAUUUUACUCUUUUACUUUCUCAAUAUGAUGUGUAGACUACUCUAGAAUUUCUACGGAUACAAUCACGAGCGAUGUACCUGACAAUCAUGAGAGAUAGCGUCAUAGCAAUGUACCUGACGAGUGAUGUAGUCAUGUACCUGGACGGAUCGUCGACCAACUGGACAAACUCAGGAUGAUCUAUCUGUAUAUGGAUCAACUUUAGGUCUUGUUUGAAUACGUAUCUAUCCAUAAAUAUAUUAUAUUCACAUAGAUUAAGAGAUUAAGGUGGAUACACAAGCAAAUCCUACAUGCAUCAAAAUAUUAUAUCCACACGCGUAUAUAGUAACUAGUGCAAGUCUCCAUCCACUAGACUUCAUCAAGCAGUAUGACUUUCACACACAACUGGAGUACAAGUGGAAGCUGACGCACCGCAGGCCGCACAAGGAUCCGCAAGCAUCGACCAUGGAGAUCCGCACGACGUCGCUUGUCACACCGCCGGUACAGCCCCACGAGGUCCUGCAAGAAGCAAGAUCCACACAGAUCAGGAAACUCAGAAGACGAACACCAAAGAGAAUGCAGACCACAGCAUCUGGUGUCUCUUCCCUGCCAUCAUCUACUCAUCUCCCAACUUAUAACCUCAAAGAAGACAAGGACGAGUCCCCUGAUCCGAACUUACCACUCUUCCUGCCUAUUCGUUUGGCAUUGGCACACAACAUUGUCGUCAGAGAAACCACGGCUGCUGGUCGGCAAGGUCUAAGAACGUGGUAGUUCAUCUUCCUCCAAAAGUCAAGCACGUACUUCUCUAGAUUAAGUUACGUACUGUAUAUUAUCUGCAUCAUUUUUAGUAUCUGUUGAGAUAUCAAUCUUAACUACUACUACAUGAUUGAGAAAGAAUAUAAUGGACAACUUCCUAAGUUUGGUCUGCUUGUAAUGCUACUUCUGCUACCAAUAAUGUAAUAAGUACUUCUUUUCUUUAUUUCUCAGUGCUUAAUGCCAUUUGAUUUCACUCUUUAGCACCAGCAAUUAUGCCGUCCUAUAUAAAUGCGUUAGUCAUAUGAUUACUAAGGUACUCACAGUGAUGGUUUUCAUUCCCCAAAGAGAAGUCCUACGACUACAGCUGCGAUUGCGCAAGAUCUCUUGAUCUUGGAACUCUCGUUGUUAGAUUUGAUACAACCAUACAAGUAUCAUUUGUAUUUAUUUAAUUAAAUAAAUUUGAGUGAGCCCUCUCGCACCCUCAGGGUUAGUUUGAAAACUCAAAUCCCCAUCUGAGAAUUGAGAAGGAAAAUUAGUUCAUUUCUCCUUCAAUCUCCUCUAAUUCCAAAUAAAAUUUAAGUUUUUCAAACUAGCCCUCAGAGUCAUUCGGGGCCAUCAGGAGUAGCCGUUGGAGGUUCGGAGUUCUUUAGGACCGAUGAGGGAUUUCGGCUCAUCGGUGCGUUCUUGUCAAUCGGUGUCCGUUCGACACCUUUGGGGUUUUUGGGGACCGUCUAGGACUGUCGGGUCCGUUAGACACUGUCGUAGCGUACCGUUGUAUUGAUCAUGUCCGUUCUAUAUGAAUAGACUUUUUGCCACUUGGACCGAUUAAUAGAUUAGUUAAUAGCUAAACUAAUAUAGAUAUAAUGGAGAUACAAUGUACAUGAUAAUGAGUGUGCAAUAUAGUGACUACUCUAUUUUUAGUCUUCCUAUAACUUCUACUACUAUAUCUAACUCUUACGACACGAGCACAAGAUAGAAUACAACAGUACAAAGUCACCUCUCACUUCUCGGUUGGGUUAAAUCCGAAUCUUCUGGUUCUGGUCCUCUGCGCGUAUGGAGUGUGGAAAGAGAAGAACUCACGAAUCGACACCGGAUGUAUGGGUGGUUAGGUUUUUGGAGAGCAUCGCGACCACUUGCUGAUCAUUGUCUUCUUACGGGUGCCAUUUUAGAUCAUCUUCUUUCCCUUCAUCUUAGUGGACAUUCGAGGGAUAGUAGUAUGGUACUAUAAACAUCUGGCCGUGUCGAUUGUGGUCUACUAUUUCAAACAACACAUACUAUCAACUUUAUGGGUUGCUCUAUAAUUUUUUGAUAAAAAAUUAGGAAAAUGUUAUAGCUAUUUUUAUGAGUUGGGUCAUGUAAUUUAAGAUAGAAUACUUAUUUAAUGUACUAUUCGAGAGGCUCAAAAUUAGAAAAAGUUUAGGAGAGACUGAACUAAAUUGUUGCAGUAUAAAAGCUCAUUAUACAUUAUAUUGUAUACAUUUUAGAUUAAGAAGGCUGUAGUGUGACUCCAUAGGAUCUGAAGCGGUAGGGAGGGCUCGAGCCCCGCCCGCUCCACCGCUGGAUCCGUCCCUGACUGAUUGAGUUAGACCAUCUAGACCAAUCACGGGCUUAAUUUACUGGUUGACUCUGAAACCGACAGCCACGAGUACGCCUACAAAAUGGUCAAAUGGACUCUUCAUGUCUCUAUAGAUGAUAUAGAUCACAUUUGUCUGCAGUCUGCACCAAACAAAACGGCCAACGUGGGUGCGUACCAGAAUGCCUAGCCUAGCUAGUGCUCGUUCCACUACGAACAAGACGAAAUCAACCAAAGGCUGCUCGCCACUUCACCACCUUGACCAGGAGAGACCAAGACCGAUCUGACAAACCACGCUUGAACACGUCAGAUAUUUUUAGGCCUGCAACCACGCUCAAGGCCGUCAGAUAUGUUUGGCCCUUGCUCCACCACAUGCAGACGCGGUUGGGUGGCAGCAGCAAGCCAGCAAGGCAGCCAGCCCGCAGCCAGCAGCCAGGCACCAGCAAAACAAGCCGCGACAAACGCGUACGUGAGCCUCGCGACACGCCCGCAUCAGGUGGCUCGGCUCCGGCAGGAUCCCAAAACCGCGCACUGGAAAGAGGCCAUCUAUAGCGGUAGAUAAAGGUCUCCGUCGGGGGUGGGAACGGAGGUCCCCAGGUGCCGUGACGAAUCGGGUGCAGCUCUCCUUUUCGGCGAAGGGAAUCUGCUCGGUUUCGGUUGGUUGUUGAGUGAUGAGCUCGUAACCAGAAGACGAGUUUGCUGAAAAAACUUGCAAGCGCCACGCCAAGGCCCAAGGGCAUACAGCUGACGAUGGAAGUUAGAAUCAAACUGACCUGAUCGAGUCCAUCCAAAUUGACUGCUCACAGGUCAAUUCGGCUGGCCUCGCCCCUCGGCCAGUUGCAUUGCAUGUCUGCGCUUCUUGGCUUGGGAUCGAUUAUGCAAAGGUGUCCGCUGCUGGCUGGACGGCCUACCGAAACAAGACCAUUUGCUGGUUCGCGUCGCAUCGUGUUAUCGUGCGUAGAAUCGGUAGUAGACAAAACGGGGCAGCAAACCGCGCCAAACGGACCAAGAAUUUCCACGCAGAUUUCAACAGAGAUGAUGGGCUCGCCCGCCGGUGCUGGUGCACUCGCCCAUGUCUCGCGCGUCGCACCGCCGAGGACGGCGCCCCGAUUCGUCCUCCUUAUUUAGGCACCGUCUUUUGUCCCCCCCAUCCGUUCCGAGCCGAACCAAGGCGCCAUGAGCUCCCCGGCCGUGCGCCGCGUCGUACUCCUCUCGUCACUCCUCUGCGCCGGAGCGCUCGGUUUCUUGCCCUGCUCCCAUGCCGCCGCGGUGGCGCCCGGCUACGUCGCCGUCUCCGCCGCCAGCUUCGUGCCGUCCUCAACGUGCAGCUCCCCCGACCGAGGUACGCGGGUCUGAUCGUCGGCUGCUUCAGUUCCUCUUUCCCAUAGAGUUGUUUGUGUUUGUUGGGAGCUUCGAUUCCGAUGUAGCUGAUUGAUUCGCUGGCUGGAACUGGAAUUCGGUGUUUGUUUCAGUUCCGCCGCACCGGCGGAACGGCACGUCCGCCGUGCUGCGGCUGACGCACAGGCACGGGCCGUGCGCCCCCUCGCGGGCGUCCUCGCUAGCGGCCCCGUCGGUGGCUGACACGCUGCGCGCGGACCAGCGCCGGGCGGAGUACAUACUGAGGAGGGUGUCGGGGCGCGCGCCUCAGCUGUGGGACUCCAAGGCGGCGGCGGCGGUGGCGACGGUGCCGGCGAGCUGGGGGUACGACAUCGGCACGCUCAACUACGUGGUGACGGCGAGCCUCGGCACGCCGGGCGUGGCGCAGACCAUGGAGGUGGACACCGGCAGCGACCUGUCGUGGGUGCAGUGCAAGCCGUGCGCCGCGGCGCCGUCGUGCUACAGCCAGAAGGACCCGCUCUUCGACCCCGCCCAGUCGUCGUCCUACGCCGCCGUGCCGUGCGGGGGCCCCGUGUGCGCGGGGCUGGGCAUCUACGCCGCGUCCGCCUGCUCGGCGGCGCAGUGCGGGUACGUGGUCAGCUACGGCGACGGGUCCAACACCACGGGCGUGUACAGCUCCGACACGCUGACCCUGUCGGCGAGCAGCGCGGUGCAGGGCUUCUUCUUCGGCUGCGGGCACGCGCAGAGCGGGCUGUUCAACGGCGUCGACGGGCUCCUGGGCCUCGGCCGCGAGCAGCCGUCGCUCGUGGAGCAGACGGCGGGCACCUACGGCGGGGUCUUCUCCUACUGCCUCCCGACGAAGCCGUCCACCGCGGGGUACCUCACGCUGGGCGUGGGCGGGCCGUCGGGCGCCGCGCCGGGCUUCUCCACGACGCAGCUGCUGCCGUCGCCGAACGCGCCGACCUACUACGUCGUCAUGCUGACGGGGAUCAGCGUCGGCGGGCAGCAGCUCAGCGUGCCCGCGUCGGCGUUCGCGGGCGGGACGGUGGUGGACACCGGCACGGUCGUCACCCGCUUGCCCCCGACCGCGUACGCGGCGCUGCGGUCCGCGUUCCGCAGCGGCAUGGCCUCGUACGGGUACCCGACAGCGCCGUCGAACGGGAUCCUGGACACCUGCUACAACUUCGCCGGGUACGGCACCGUGACGCUCCCGAACGUGGCGCUCACCUUCGGCAGCGGCGCGACCGUCACGCUGGGCGCCGACGGGAUCCUGUCGUUCGGGUGCCUCGCGUUCGCACCCAGCGGCAGUGACGGUGGCAUGGCCAUCCUCGGCAACGUGCAGCAGCGCUCGUUCGAGGUGCGCAUCGACGGCACCUCCGUUGGCUUCAAACCCAGCUCCUGCUAACUCAUGGAUUAACAGUCGGCGACUUGGGAUCACUACUAGUAGUAGUAUAUGCACGUACGUAGACGAGAGUGCAGAGAUACAUACAAAGUUACUGUACAUGAUGAUAGUAAAGAUAAACUUGCAGGAGAGCGUAUACCAUACACAGCACACAGCAGUAGCGGUGGAAGUUCUUUCGUUGGUGGAAUUAAGGGGCUAACCAGAGACGUAAGCGUGACGCGUUCCAAUUGAUUCGGCAUUGCUAAUCGAGUUAGUGCAGUGUUAGGAGGGCGUGUGGGCCUACUCUGCCCUGUUCUUUUUGUAGUGGUGGCUCCUUGGUGUUCUAUGUGAGAUUGGACGUCACGAAAUGGAGAUUGAUAUCACGCGCAGCCAUCGCGGACUAGAGUGCCACGAAAAGAUGACCGACAUGUGUUAUAUUGUUUCAUUUGCGCGUAAAUGUAAAUUUUGUUUUAAUAUUAGUUAUUAAUGAUAAUAUAGUGCAUAUUUAUAACCAUAUGUCAUGACUAUCUAAACAUAUUCAUGUUUCUAAUUUAUAUGUAGAUCUAAGAAGAUGUUUUAGUCUAUUUUUUUCAAUAAUAAAAGAAAUGGUCCCUCUAGCCUUGGAGCCGAGAGAAAAGAAGCCAUCUUGAAUUCGGGAAGUGUGGUCCUAACCAUGGUGGUUCCUUUGAUAUCCUCUCAUUUGCAAACCAUGUUGCUUGGAAUCUUUCAUUUGGACUUCAUCUCUUGAACUCUUUUGAUUUGAAAUUCAUAUCGAUUUCUUGAAUUUGAGUUGUGACAGUGUUUGGGCUUGAUAGGGUUGUGGAAAACCUUCCUAGAAUCAUCACCACCAGAUUGCGUGGGUUGAUUCAUCACGAACACAUUUUUCCAUCCUUUUGAGCCAUAUUGAGAAAACCACAAUUUGGAUUUAAUUUUUUGAUAUGAUUCUUCAAAUUUGAUCUUUCUAAGUUCAUACUUUGGGAACACCCGGGAAUCAUCCUUGCAAAGGUUAGCUCAAGCGGCAUCGUAAUGCAGUAGGAGCGGUACUGUCAUGUAGUAGGAGCGGUAUUGCCAGUUCGUGGCACUAACGGCCAGGAGAACAUCACUCCUGCACUCUUCAGAGAAAUUCUUGCUUUUGCCUCUUCCAUACUUUUGUGUGUCAAAAUUGUGUUCUGUUUGCUUAGCCAUGUUCAUAUCCGCAUUAGAAACUCCAUCAAGGUAUCUAACCACAAUUGGUUGAGGUGUUCUUGAUUAGGGAUAUUCUUUGCUAGUUGGGAUGUUUUUGAGGUUUGGACGAAGUUCUUGGAAAGCAAGCCAAGAUUAUAUAAAGAAAAAUUUUAUUGUCUCCCAUUCACCCCCUCGUCUAGUCAUUGGAUUCGAUCCUUCAAUGUGAUAGAAACCUAGUCCCUUAUUAGUACUACCAUAGUACUGAGCUGGAACUUGAGGUUAGCACCUUAUAAACUUGUCGACCACAUGGUAAGUACGAUGGAAGAUGAAGAAUACUCUAGGCUUGUUACAACUUAAACUAUAAUGUCUAGUGUAUCCACUAUUGUAGCACACUACACUUGGAAACUUGUCCUUGGAACUAUGUUAGCCUCAACCUUCUCCAAAUCCUCUUCUACUCUCUAUGAUGUGUGAGAUCCUAAUCUAUUGAGGGGUAAAUCAUUGGCCAUACCUUCUUGAUUUGCAUUGAUGGUGGUGGUGGAGAUGGAAGAUGCUUCUUGCUGCGGUGCACCACCACCUCCUCCACUUUGGGUGCUCCACCAUCUUCCUCGUGUUGUGCUUCCUCUACUUCCUUAUAAAGACCCUCGAAACAAAUGUUGUCCAAGUAUUCAUUUGCUCCGGUGAAGGAUGAAAAUCAUGUUUUUGGGGAGUGUUAGUGACAUAACUGCUAGCUUCCUCUACUUCCUCGCGUUGUGCUUUGUCAUCUCUUAGCCACCUCGGUAUUUUGUCACUCGUUACUCAUCGUCAAAAACUACAUAUAUGCAUUGCAUCAAGCAGGGCGGCUACAUCGAAUAGAAACAAUUUAUACGGAUAUUUGUGGUCCUUUCCUUAUGAAGACAGUAGAUCAUUUUGAUUCGUUCAUUACUAGUGUGUUUGGUUUGCAAGAUGACCCGGUCUGAAAUUAUCCGAUCCAAACACCGAAGCUGCUGAAACCGUUUGGUUAACAUCGUGGAGCCAACUCGUCCGUAACAAACACGUUUAGAAACAUAGCAAAUUUGUAGGUCGGGUCGGUUCCUCCAAUUUCGCUUGACAAGUAUAUUCCUGACGAGUGUAUGCUGGGCGUACUCAACCCUACAACCAAACACGUUGUACAUCUAUUGAUGACUUUUUAUGAUAUGAGUAUAUUUAUCCGUUUCUAUUUAAGAAACGGCCAAAAGCAUUAAAUAAAUUGAAGGUAUUCGAAUCUAUAGUCGAGAAUCAAUAUGAUUUAAAGAUUAGAUCAGUGAUAAAGUGGCUCCACCCUUCUGUUCCUUUCCCUAUUCACAACGGGAGCAUAGGAAUUGGGGGAGAGGCGGAGAGCUCUCAGAAACACAUCUAAACUGUUGGGCAAUUAUGUCAGUGUAUGCACAACUUUUUAUCUCGAAUUAUUGAUUGUUUUAGAUUUUUUAGAUACAUAUACAUAGUAUAGGCUAUACAUCUAGAUAUACUAUAUGUUUAGAUAUUUAAUAAAAAAUAUAUAUCUGAAAAAGUUAAAACGAUCAAUAAAUCAGAACGGAUUGAAUACGUCACAACAUACAAGAGUGUGCAGAGCAAAGGCCAAAUGCAAGUUUCUACAACAACAUACUCAUCCGAGGAUAAGACAACAUGCUGCCAAAUUUUACAAGCAAUGUGAUCCUUCAACUUACAACAUCGACAUGACAAAAUUCUGCUGCACAAAUUCCUUGAGUGAUCACACUGACGAAUAUAUGCAGCAGAAGUUAUCAUGCUCUAAUAUAUGCUACACAUUACAAUUUACAAGCAGUACGAGGGUAAAAAGUACCGCCUUCUUACACUAGGUCUGUACUUCGUUCCUAUCCCGCGUAAAGUACAAGUCCAGGUCGUAACAAGAACAAAUAAGUGGUACGAGCAGGGAUGCCACAUGAAACUUGCAGUAAUGGGAGGUCUUUGCAGAAUUUAUCAGGCUUGCCCCUGCAGAUCACCGUGAAAUCAAAAUGAUACAGUAUAGAGGUUAAACUGCCUGAAUGAUCUCUACAUCAGUGUAGCUGGCUAGCUGCAUUUCGCAUAGAUGUCCUGUAGUCUUGCUUACUGUUGUGGUGUCAUAAGGGCACUGUAGUUUUUCAGUGCACAAUUGCUACAAGAGGAAAGCCUGCUUUUCGCUGAUACAUGACCUUCAGUUCACAAUAUUCUCCCUCGGCAAUCAAACGAAUAAUCAUAUCGUCCAAGUAGUUUCAUAUUAUUAACAAGCCAGUCUCUGAUAUAUGGUCUUCCAGUUCUCUAUUUCCUCCCUUGACGAGCAAAUGAAAAUACUUGUAUUAGCAUAGAUGAGUGUAGUACUAAGAAACCUACACAGGUCAAAGAAAAUAAAAAGGAUUGACACAAAGCAAGCAUAUAUGAGCUUAUGACUAACCGCACGCAGCAACCAAUAGAAUCAUAAUGUAGAAGGGCAAUCGGCCUGCGCUUUCCUGCAGUUCUAUGGGCAACACCACGCUUAACUACAGGCAGUUGCUUUAUCCCUCUGGCCUCCAUAAGACUCUUUGCAGUGGUCAAAUCAGUAUCUGGAAAGCAUGUUAACAAUCCACGUUCGCUCCCACGAUACUGGAAUCCUCGAGUAAGACACAAUGAAAUGGAAGAAGAGUUAUCCUGUAACAAAUAUCAAUGCAUUUUCUUACAAGUGUGAAAAUUGUUUCUAUGGCUCCAGAAGCUAGGAUGAAUGCACAUAUAGUAGACAUCACAGUUUGAGUCUAUAGCUAACUGAUUCCUUAAAAGACGCGGUUAACUUAAAUAGUGCAAAAGUGACAAAUUUGUUAUUUGUUAGCAUAGUCAUAUUUAGCAAUGAUUGUGUUUCCAAUGGGGCCAAUCCUAGCAUCUAGCUCGUCCUAAGACAAGGCACACAUCUGGGAGCUUGUAGGCACUAGAGAUAGCCAAUAGAUUACAAACUGGUGGUUUUGUUGGGUUUGGUCGUGGAUUGAUGUUUUAUUUCUGGUAUAAGUAAGAGUGUGUGUGUGUAAGCAUGGUGGACGUGUUGUAAUUUAUUAUCUCCUUGAUGCAAUGAUGUGUCUCUCCUAAAGAAAAAAAAUGUUACUUUGAGCUUUAUUCAGUGCUAAAGUACCAUAAGCUCAUUAGAUUGUCAACCUUGUCCUAAAUUUGUGCACUAAGGCUUUUAUGAUGUAUAAAUUUUCCUUUCUUUCUUAAUAUAAGGCAGCGCUCAUGCCAUAUUUUCAAAAGGCACAGAUGUAUUUAAUGGGAAGAAAGAAAUUUCUUGCACCAUAUAAACGUACGUCAGCCUUGGGGUGAUCUCCAUUGAUGAAACUUUCCACAUGUAACCCAUAUCCCAUGCGCCGUAUAUCCCCUAAUGUAAUUAUUCCUUCAAGAAAAUCUUCAGGGUCCACAACCAGGGCACAAUUUUGCUGUCUAUCAUGCAACAGAUUAAGAACUUCUGUUACUGUAGCAGAUGGUAACACUUUGAGAUAUAUCUUUGACAUGGCCUGGAAGACCUGAUUAAAAAGGUACAAAUAAAUGAAACAACAUAAACAGAAGCACAAAUACAGCCUUGCAAUUCAAGCGUUACAAAGUAUGUCAAUCAAAUAUACUAUACGUGAUAACAAGAGCCAGAUAUGAGUAAGAUCUGCGAGAAUAGAGGCCGACAAACCUUCAAAUCAUCCAGAAGCAUUUCUGCAUUAUAAGUUCCAUAGUUACUCAUGUCAGUUUGUAUAAUACUGAGCUCAAGAUCAUCCACAACAUCACCUUGCCUUAAGCUGCCAUUUCUUUCUUCUGGUGACAUUGAAGAAUAACCUCGUCUGGAUGUUCUAAACCCAGAAGGCUCACUGUCGUUUGGCUGGUUUACUACUGAAGGAACCCAUAUUGCCAACCCAACUGCUCCCUGUUAAGAGCCAGGAAAUAAAAUGUAUUAGUUUGAACAUGCACUAGGAGGUGAAGCAAAUUACCUAUAUGUCCAUUGCAUAUAAAAUGGUAACGGAAAUAACUUUAUGUUUAUGUGUUCUGAAACAAAAAAUAUAGUAAAACUGCAUUGACAUUUAACACUUACCAUGAGCGGAAGCAAAAUCCUGUAAUCCUUUGUCAGUUCAAAGAGAAGCAGUACUGAAGUCAAUGGGACUGAACAGACUGAAGCUAGUGUAGCAGCCAUUCCAACCUACAGAAAGUCAGAGCUAGUGCACAUUAUUACUUAUCGCAUUAGGGAAAGUGAGUUGCAAGCAACUUACCAGAGCAUAAGCUUGUGGCUGUGCAACAGCAGCAUUACCAGGUAAAGCUGAAUUUAUUAAAUAAGCAGCUGAACCCCCAAAAACAGCUCCAACAGCAGCCCCAAUCAUCAGGCUUGGAGCAUAUAGUCCUCCCACAAGCCCAGAGCCCUUGCAGAGAGCAGUUGCAACUACCUUUGCAGCCGCCAGUUGAGUUAACAACCAGAUACCAGGAGCAGAAGCACUUUUACCGGUAUGCAAUAUUUCUUCAACAUUUGUGAAACCCCAGUAUAAGAUCCCUGGAUAUUUCAGAGCUAUGAUACCAGCUCCCAGCCCACCUAAAGCAGGGUACACUAUUAUAGGAAAAUCAAACUUUUCCUUUAUGUGCCCAAAGAAUCUUGAAAACCAUCCAACCAAUCUAUCAAAUACCACACUGACCGCUCCACAUAGCAUUCCUAAGAUAAGGUACAAUGGUAGCUCUGCAAACAAGUUGAAGAGAUUAGGACAACCUUAAAAACACACAUUUCACAUACGCUUGACGGCUUGAGUUUACAAAAUAGGAGAACAAUAUUAUGUGGGAUUCAAAAAUCUAAGUCAACGUCAUUGAAAUGAGUUUUCCAAAGGGAACUUAAAAUUUGUACCAAAAAGGUCAAUCCUAACUUACAAGAAAGAAAACAUUUAUGGCAAUUAUGCUCAUAACCUAAAAAAAACUCGGCCGGGGAGGGAAAGACCGCCCUCCCGGUAUUAUAUUAAGAAGAGACUGAAAUAUGGUCCUGGCCGAAAAAAUCCUCGAACCCUGACCCCCAUUACUAGCGGGCCGUCACUAUCCACUCUGCAACGGCCCAACCGAAGGGUGGCGCACGGGACGUAACCCGAGAGCGGGCGGGACACAGCGAGGAGAUUUUUUUAAUCAAGCCCGAAAUUUGUCCCCGAGGGGGAUCGAACCUGGCACCUGGAGGUGCUACUCGAAAACCUUAACCAUUACGCUAGAGGCCCUUUCACAUUAUGCUCAUAACCUAAACAAAUGGAAUCACGUAUCUGGGCUUAAUGAACUUAGAAAACCAUUUUACAAGAGGUGCCCCGAAGCUCCAUAAAAGGAAGGAUAGCUACUAACGUUACUGUAAGAAAAGAUCAGAACAACUACCGGCAGCAGAUUUGAGCUCAUAUGCUGGCACUAUAAAAGCUGGUCUGGCUCCAAGUAAAACAUUUGAAACAGUAGAUGAUAUAACAGAUGCCAAUAUUAUCAUUGCAGUCGUAAAUGGAGGUGAAUUUUCUGCUUUAAGAGGCCUUAAUACAGUUUCAAUGGCAAAGAAGCACCCAGCAACUGCUGCAUUGAAGCCUGAAAAGAGACACACACCAGAAGCAGUAUAUUAGCAAACUUAUAUCAUGGAAAAGGUAGAAUUGUACCAAAACUAAGGAUUAUACAUAUAAUAAAAAGGGAAGCAUUGCAACCGAUCCAUAUUAGCUACUGCAUUUUAAGGUUUCUUUUUACAAUGUUUACAAAUAUAUGCUUAUUCCUAUUCUGUUAUCUGUUGAAUAAUCACAGGCCAUAUUUUAAAAACCAAAAGUUGGCAUGCCAAAAGAAUCUAGCCUUUUCUCAGAUCUAAUUAAGAUGAAAUUUCAUGUGACGUGUUAUUGAAUGAAAAUUAUACCUGAAGCAAUGCCAGCAGCAGCGCCAGCAGCAACAAGUGCAAUACGCCUUUCCCGGUUACUCUCCAUCAUUUCUGAGCAUGCAUUUGCACACGAUUUGCCAAUAUCCACACUAGGACCUUCAGGUCCCAGGGAACAGCCAGUCCCUAGGGUAACAGCAGCUUGGACAGCCUUUAUGGUUGGGAAGAUGGCUCCAACAAAGUUGAUUCCUUGCCUCUGCCCUGAUUUCACAAGUUUUAGCUGCUCAAAUAUAUCGAGCAACCCAUGCAUCAUUCCUACAACCACACCCCCAGUCACCGGGAUCAGCAGUAUCCUGUGCCAAGUAUCAGCUAUCUUCUGCAGGCGGAGCCAUGCUGCACCUUCGUUGGGAGUCCCUGCCCAUGCCCAUUCAUGGAUGACAUGAACCUAGCAAAGUCAUCAAGACAGCUGUAAAUGGAAUCAGUUGUUCAAAUAUGCAAUCACCAAAUCUCGGCUAUUAGUGUAACGUGGUUAGUUUUAAAAUAAAAUUUGUUGCUUAAUAAUAUUGUGGGUACCCUAAUAUGAUCGGUGAGUUACACGAAACGUCAGCUGAGUAUAUAUAGAUCAAUUAAGCAAACAUAAAUGGAACCAAAUUUGCAGCAUGGCACUAGCUUUUCCGUGGUAGUUACACAUUCCAAAAGUAGGCAAUAACGUUACUAAAACCAAGUACACCCAAAUACUAGAACACAAAGCUCACAAACCAAACCAAUUUAAAUAGUGCUACACCACUAUUACUCCUACAGUCUACAUGAAUGUCCAACUUCCUAAUUAGAAACCAGUUGGCUCACCCCGCGGUUAAACGCGGCGACGCAGAUGCCGGUGGCGAGCCCGAGGAGGCAGCCGAUGAGCAGCAGCGCCCACUCGGGCGGCGCCCCGUCCCCGAGCUCGUCGUCAUCCCCCGCCGCCGCUCUCUCCCGCUGCCGCUGAGACGGCGGCGACUCGAUCGCCACGGAGCGAUCGAGCUGCUGAUAAUGCUGGUGCUGGCGACGCCCAGGCCCAGAUCCGCGUGCGGACAUGCGGCGCUCGAGGUUGCGCAGGAGACCGCGCACACCCCCGCCGCCGCUGGCGAGCCUCGGGGAGGCGGUGACGGUGGCCUCGUCCGCCUCGACGUCGGCGUGGUGCUGAUGUCCCGCCGAACCGCGCGGCGAGGGGCAGGACGGCGACGAGGCCCCAGCGUGGGAUCUGAGGAGCGAGGCGUGGUCGUCGUCGCAGGAGGACAUGGUGCCGGCGUCGCCUCCGCUGUCAGGGGAGCCGCUGCCGCAUCGAGAUCUGGAGGCGGGAGGGAACGCGGACGCGAGGGAGGGAGGCAAAGCGGAGAGGUUGACGAGUGCGAAGGCGGCGUGUCGGAUGUCGGUUCUUAUACGAGGAGGCCGGCGACGCCGACGCGGGAAGUCAGGAGAGAGCGAGGUACCUCGCGAGCACGAGCACGAGCACGGCACUACGGCAGUGAUGAAACAGAGACAAGGGCCGAUCGACCCCACGGGCCACGGGUCGCACUGACCUGCGACCUGCGCGCGGCGCGCUGGUCGUCCACUGGCGAGCGCUGCUGGCUGCUGCAACGGCAACGCCGCAACGGCUGAACGGUGUCUGUGAACUGAACGGGUCUGAACCUGGAGAUUCUCAGGCAUCCAAGCGUAGAAGUGUACAAGGGCCCCGAUAUUCGUUCGGUGUCGGCGUGCGCGCGCUGUACAGGUGCACGCGUGACGUCGUGAGGUGCACUGAAAUCGUGGACUCUCUUUUCAUGUAUUUUAGUAUUUUAAAUAUUGUUCGCAAAAAAAUUUGCCCCCUACAUGAAUCAUGUGUAUAUCAGUUUAUGUGAUGAAGAACCGUAGGAUAGUUAAAGCUAAGUAUAUUUUGUCGCGAGUGAUAACCACUAGAUUGUUUGAACAUCGUGGUCAUGGGGCGCUUAUCUAUACAAUUAUAUUUAAAUGAUGCUGCCGCGCUUGGGACAAAUGUUGACCGCAAGAACAUUAAGUCCGAGGGGUACUCGAAAACAUGACGGCAAUAGAUACCCGAAAACACGACGAGUUUUACCUGAUAUGAUGGUAUAAAAUUAUUUCUAUAUCCGCGAGUAUGUUAAUGGAUAAAAAUCUAUAUCCGUUGGGUAUAUAGGUAUAAGUAUGGGCGGGUAAAAUAUACUCGAAUGCGUUACCCCGCGUGGGUAUAAAUACAUGUAAGAUUUUAUACCGCAAACAGAUACUCGCGAAUAUGAGUAACACGACGCAUAUAUUUUUUAUUGAUAAAUAUGGGUAUAGAAUGAUAUUACCACCAUGGACUAUCGAGCAAUUGAUGCGGACGGGCCAAGGCUCUGUGCGAGUUAAAUGGUUGGCUUAUUUCUGCUUUAAUGGAACCUAAUGGUUCAGGUCUACUAGCUACUUGGCCCAGAGAGCCAUUUUUUUUUGUCUUGGGUAAAAGCCCAAACAGCGGCGAAAUGGGCUCAACAAGCUCAGCUGACUUGGUUGGCCCAAACUUUGAUUACCCGCAUGGGCUAAAAUAUGCUUAAGAAACAAGGCGGCGAAUAUGUGGGGUUGGUUUCUUCGAAGAACCGAAGAAGACGGGGUUUUCUUUUGCUCAAACAUCAUUUGGAUGGAGUUUAUAAGGGCGAAACACCGUAGGACGACACGCACCUCAGCAAACAUACUGUACCAGUCAGUAUGAAUCAUAAUCAGUGUAGGUGUCUGUGCAUAGCGACACAUUGUUUUCUCUCUAUCUCUCUCGAUCGUAUCACUGAGACCUGGUUCUGAAAUAAUAAAUACAUAAACGGCGGAUAAAAUACUUGAGAGUUUGUAACGAUGUUAAGAGUGUGCUAAUAUGGAGCCUGUUCAAGCGCUUAUUUGCGUUAUAGGGCCUGAAUUGUAUACCCAUAAUGCUUAUUGACGCGACAUCAUUUUCUUUAAGCAUAUGCAUCAAAGCAUAUGCCUAAGCACAAGUUGCAUGUACCCAUAAUAAAGCCUAGCCGCACCCGCACCAUACGCAGCAUCGCUACCAAAUAUUAAUACACUAGCGCCACAGCCCUGGACGCCACGUUGUGCGCGCAUCCUUUUCUCCUCGCCUUUGAUGGACAGGGACGAAUUUGGUGCCCGUGGCCACGCGCAACUUUGGAUCUAUUUAGAAUAUCUUCAAUUAAUUAUUGGAAGAGUAAAUUUAGAUCGAAACAUUAUCAGUGGACAAUUUCACAAGUGAAUCUGUCAUCUACCGUGGAUCUAUCAGAUCAGACAGUCGUUUAGAUAUUUAGAGUUAAAUUGUUUGAAGCGAAUCCAAAUUUGGUGGAGUUUUUUCUCCUUUAUUUAUUGGGCCGACGACGGAGCUGCCUGCAUGUCUGUUGACGGAUCGGCCAUGGGUGAGGCCGGCCGCCGCACCGCAUCACGCGGCGGAACAGCGCACAUGUGGUUGGUGAGAUGGCCGCUUCCGUUGCUGGUGCUGCUGGUGCUGGUGUGGCCGGUUGGUGCGCGCCUCGGCCUCGGCCUCGGCGCCUCCACCACGAUGAGAUUAUUCUCCUGUCACUUCCAGCGGGCGGCAGCAGUGCGGUGGCGGUUGCGGUUGGCGGUGCGGCACCUGCACUGCACAGCACACCCAAUCGGAUCCAAAGCCGGAGGAGGAGGCGUCCGGCUGAAGCUUCGUUCCGACGAAAAGAUUCCGUCACCGGCUAAUCAGAUGCAGAUGCUGCUGGCUACCUAGAUUCUCUCUUCCUUGCUGCAGAGGAACUUGAUUACUCUUACUAGUUACUCCUAUACGAUAGCAUAUGACGCCGCGUGCCGGCAGAUACACAGACUUGGACUAGCAUGCAGCUUCGUGUUCACCUCUCUUUCUCUGUCGUUCUGAAAUCUGAAGCGAGAAUGAGACUUGACUGAAAGACUGAACUGGCUAGCUAGUAGCUAUACAGAAACUAGUAUAGCUCUCUGACCAAGUGGAUAUCUGUCGGAGGCACUCCUGCAGACGGUGGUCAUUGUUGUUGUCCCGUGUUGCGUCGCAUUAGCAUUCGGUAACCACCUCGGUCGAUCGAUCGGUCUAGCAUUUUUCGUCAAAGCUAGUACGGGGGGCGAUGCUGGACGACAUUUAUCACUGGCGCGUGAUUGCUGUUUAGACUGACAGGUGCGCAUAACCGCCAGCUUAAUUAAUUGAGCAUGGUGAGUAGAAGGCGGGGCAGCUUCAUAAUUGUGCACCUACCUUGCAUUGGCUUUUGCGCUGCAGAAAAGCAAAUACCUCUCUUGGUCUUGGCUACCAUCUCGCUGCUGCACACGUCACAGGCACAGGGCAACAGCAGCAGUCCUAGUUCUGAAAGGCAACAACGAUACCGGUACACGAGCCGUCGGCGUCGGAACGGAAGCCUCCAAUCAGAAAAGAAAAUAAAAUGGACCAAAGAAUGGAAAACAAAAAAAAGGAGAUGGAAAAAAAAACUCUGACGCGCCUGAACUGAUACGAUCAUGAUCUCUCAGCAGCAGAGGAGAGGAAAAAACAGUUAGAGAACGGACUACGGAAGCAGUGGUAGUACGUAGUACUCAGGUGGUUGGACUGGAUUAAAAGGGGUCGUUUUUCAACCGCCGAGGCUGAAAGCUACCGCGGGGGUUCGCAAGCUAGCAAAGCAGGACGGGCGGGCGCGCCAUCGGAAUCUCUAUAAAAGGCCGCGAGGUGGCCAGGCUUAACUUCAUAGAGAGAGCCACUGGCCACAGGCAGGCAGGAGGAUCGGACGAGUCGGCGAGGAAGCUGCCUGCUUUCAGAUAGAGAGAGUUAUUAAGAUGGCGUUGCUUCGGCUGCUUGCCAUCUCCCUGCUCUUCGCAGUGGCCACUCCUGUCAGGGACAUCGCCCACGAUGCCUGCUCGUCAGAAGUGAAGGGUACUGCUCCUAUCCUCAUGUGCUCGUUAGUCACUUGCAUGUUUUUUUUUUUGCCGAUAAUUCAUGCAUGUGUUUGCUUGCAAUGGUUUUUCUGCACGUACGUAACUGACCAGGCUCGUAAACGAUAUAUAGCGCUAGCAGUGUUUCAUCUUUCAAAUCGAAAUUAUAUAUCAGCGGCGCGGCGCUAGAUUCAUGCAUGAUCUCCAUGCAAACCUGAAAGACUGAAACUUCGGUGGGCAAAAUUAGUUUAAAAAAAUGAAGCGCGGAGCGGAGGUUGAUCGAACCUGUUGCCUAGUCCACGAGUCCACGACAGGCAUAAAGCGAGUUUAUAACUGAACGAAAGCUGACAGCUACUAGGGUGUGGGACCGUGUGUGAGCCAAAAGGACUGACGAUCGAAUCUUCGCAGGAAAACAUUAUCGACAGACAGCAUACAAAGUUAGUAUGUUAGGUACACUUAUGUCUGUACUGUACUAGACUACUGCUAGUAGAUUAUGAAUUCCGUCGCCACUAGCACUAGCUAGCCCCCGCCGCCGCGCAAAGCGUCCAAGUUAGGCCUAGCUAGGCGGCCCAAUUGGCGCUUACCACCCUUGUGCUCUGCUACCACACUGAUAGGCAGCCUGGCUGGCCCGGUGCCACACACCGUCGAAUUUCCUUUUUGACUGAAAACAAAAAAAAAGUGUAUGAGAAGACACGCCGCCCGUUCGUUACCAUCCACAUGCUAAUCUAUCAACAGGAUGUUUUCGCCUGCCGACAUGCAUUUUUCGAACAAAGGGAGUUUGUUUCAUCGAACAAAAUGGUGUCUACAUUCAGAGGAUAUGCAUGUGUGUAAUGUGACCAACAUGCAUACGCACAGCACGACAGCAUAGCAGAUAGCAGCCUAGCACAGUAGCACGCAAUUAUUAUUAUCUGUUUGGCAACAAUAGCCGUUUUUAGCUUUUAUCCUGACAAGAUGAGAUCUAGAGACCUGAAUUUAAUUUAUAUCGGCUUUAGUUUUUGGAACCCAUCCAUCGACCAUCGAUCACACACGGCUCCGAUGGAAUUGAUGCAUGGCUCGUACGCAAGUUGAGAUUCAGGUGGACCGAGUAGUACUUCUCCCCUCCACUCCACCCGUGAAGAAAGAAGCCAAUCAAUCGCUUCCCGAUUCCCACCGCCAACCACCGUCCAUCACGUCCGGAAAAAAGGAUGGCCGUCGAAGUGGGCAGCCAGCCAAUGCACUCCUCAAACGUCACCGCACCGGACAGACAUGCAUGGUUUUCAAUGCCGAUCGCCCCCCUUCAAUUGCGUGCCCACGCUGGCGGCGUAGUGGCAUCAUGCCUACCAGACCAGAUAUGUGCUGUGGCCUGUGUGUCUGCGUAGCCAUCCCUGCUGUGUUGUACACAAGCAUAUAUUCAUCGGUACGACGGUACCAGUACAGUCUUCGUCGUUCUCCUCCCUGGAGAAAUAUCUUUUGAGGAUGUUCUCUCUCUCUCUCUCACACGAAAACAUAGUGUGCACGGUAUAUAUAUAUAUAUGAUCGGAUGGUCUGUACUUGACCGCAAAAGACAUAAGGCGUAUUCAGAUGGAUGGUCCUUGUCACAAGCCGGCCGGCAACCACUCCAAUUAAAACCCGUUGUUGGCCACUUAGCAUGCUGUUUUUUUUUUCUUUUUCAGCUAGGACCGUACUACUAAUAUCUUGUUAACUACCAACUAAAUGCAUUAGCUUCGUUUUCCCCCCCUUUUUCCCCUUUAACCCUUUUGUCUUGAUGCAAGAUUGCAAGAGCUAGCUACUAGGUUAUUGCCGAUGGUAGUUUCGUUCCUGAAUAAUCAAAUAAAACGGUCAAGCUUGACAGUUAAAGUAUCACGUGUAAUUACCCGAAUUGUCGCCAAGCUAGUAGGAGUACUAUACACAUGUGAGAACUAGGGAAUUUCUGAUGGUAUGGUAGCCAUGGAGAGUAGGCGCCGUAUGGUUCGCAAUUUCACGUGUCGAUAAUGUAUAGCUUCUCUGCCAACUACCUCGAAUUAACACGUACAGUACGCGUCUCUUCAAUGGAAUUUAAUACUGUCACACCCAGUUGAUGCGUACAUAUCAUCCAGCUACGCUCCAAGGUCUAAAGAUGUCCUCGUGAUAGAGUGCUCGGUAUAGCUAGUAUGAUGCGCAUGAUUGGCACUCACAGGCUCCGAACCUGUAAAAUAAAGUAUUCUUUUCAUGCUUGUUUCCGAUCAUGCGACCCGAAAUUCGAUCCCCUGGGGAGUUGGGAAUAUAAUGAUAAGCUAGUAUAGGACUGUAGGACGACACUAAUCUCUCGUCAGGCCAGUUUCAUUCCAGAUCUAGUGACUGCUCUGCAUGUUCCAAGAUGACUGAAACAGCAUUAGCCCACCACAUGGCAUCGUACUAAUACAACAGUAUAUUUACACAUGAUUGUGCAUUUGGCUUUACAUUGGCCACGUCACCACGUUUGGUAAGACGUCAGAACAUUACAUAUGUUGCAUCGCUAUCUAAUCAUAUAGGGCGGCUACUGGCUAAAAAACUGUACGACAGCCACUGGUGCGGUAUUUAGCUCGGAGUGCGUGCGUGCGUGCGUGCGUGUUCGGUGUCGUGGCGACGAUAAUGCACUGAUAUAAUCUCAUAAUUAAGCCAUGCAGCAGAAUGAAAAAAAGGUUGUUACUACAAUACAGCCCUUUUGUCACGAUCGCAGUACGUAAAGUAAUUCGUUUGUGCGAAUUAAUUUAUUACUGACGGAGGUAUGAACUGACGAAACUGCAGAUUUCCAGCACCUGAACAACAGCUCGGGGCUCCACCUGACGCUGCACCACCCGCAGAGCCCCUGCUCCCCGGCGCCGCUGCCCGCCGACCUCCCCUUCUCCGCGGUGCUCGCCCACGACGGCGCGCGCAUCGCGUCGCUCGCCGCGCGCCUCGCCAAGACGCCGUCCUCUCGGCCCACCUUGCUUGACGAGAGCCGCGCGGGGUCGUCGUCGUCGUCCCCCGAUGACGAGUCCCUCGCGUCCGUGCCGCUCGGCCCGGGCACGUCCGUCGGCGUCGGCAACUACGUCACCCGCAUGGGCCUCGGCACGCCGGCCAAGUCGUACGUCAUGGUCGUGGACACGGGGUCCUCGCUCACCUGGCUCCAGUGCUCCCCCUGCGUCGUGUCGUGCCACCGCCAGUCCGGCCCGGUGUUCAACCCCAAGGCGUCCAGCUCCUACGCCUCCGUGUCCUGCUCCGCGCAGCAGUGCAGCGACCUCACCACCGCCACGCUCAACCCCGCCUCCUGCUCCACCUCCAACGUCUGCAUCUACCAGGCCAGCUACGGCGACAGCUCCUUCUCGGUCGGGUACGUACGUACGUUGUCUGUACGAAUACAUAUUGUACGGUAUUAUUAUUCUUAUUACUAUAUUGGCAUGCAAUAUAUGCAGGUAUCUGAGCAAGGACACCGUGUCGUUCGGCUCCACCAGCGUGCCCAACUUCUACUACGGCUGCGGACAAGACAACGAGGGCCUCUUCGGGCAGUCGGCGGGGCUCAUCGGCCUGGCGCGUAACAAGCUGUCGCUGCUGUACCAGCUGGCGCCGAGCAUGGGCUACUCCUUCUCCUACUGCCUCCCGACGUCGUCGUCGUCGUCCUCGGGGUACCUGUCCAUCGGCUCCUACAACCCGGGGCAGUACUCGUACACGCCCAUGGCGUCGAGCUCGCUGGACGACUCGCUCUACUUCAUCAAGAUGACCGGGAUCAAGGUCGCGGGCAAGCCGCUGUCCGUGUCGUCGUCGGCCUACUCCAGCCUGCCGACGAUCAUCGACUCCGGCACGGUGAUCACGCGCCUGCCUACGGGCGUGUACUCGGCGCUCAGCAAGGCGGUGGCGGGCGCCAUGAAGGGGACGCCCCGCGCGUCGGCGUUCUCCAUCCUGGACACGUGCUUCCAGGGCCAGGCGGCGCGGCUGCGCGUGCCCGAGGUCACCAUGGCCUUCGCCGGCGGCGCGGCGCUCAAGCUGGCCGCCAGGAACCUGCUGGUGGACGUGGACAGCGCCACCACGUGCCUGGCCUUCGCGCCCGCCCGGAGCGCCGCCAUCAUCGGGAACACGCAGCAGCAGACGUUCAGCGUCGUCUACGACGUCAAGAACAGCAAGAUCGGGUUCGCCGCCGGCGGCUGCAGCUGAGAAGCGACACCUACAUACACGCGCAUGCACAGACCGACUCGGUAACUAAAACUAAAACGAGCAGCGCAUGCAUGCAUCUACCGUCCGGUUUCGUCUGAAACCAUCAUUAAUUUCGAUCGUCCACUCCACGCACAGCAAGUUCUUUACGGACCUUGCCGCAUAUGAUAUGUACAUGGUGACAAGAUAAGGUACAGGAGAAUUGAUGAAAGAAGCGUUGCCGGCCAGUCGUCGUUGCACAAGAACAAACACAUAAAUUAAAACAUUAUUACAGGAGUAGGGUAUUUAU
rnacentral:lncRNA from 1 species